AUUGAACGCUGGCGGCAGGCCUAACACAUGCAAGUCGAGCGGAUGAAGGGAGCUUGCUCCUGGAUUCAGCGGCGGACGGGUGAGUAAUGCCUAGGAAUCUGCCUGGUAGUGGGGGAUAACGUCCGGAAACGGGCGCUAAUACCGCAUACGUCCUGAGGGAGAAAGUGGGGGAUCUUCGGACCUCACGCUAUCAGAUGAGCCUAGGUCGGGUUAGCUCGUUGGUGGGGUAAAGGCCUACCAAGGCGACGAUCCGUAACUGGUCUGAGAGGAUGAUCAGUCACACUGGAACUGAGACACGGUCCAGACUCCUACGGGAGGCAGCAGUGGGGAAUAUUGGACAAUGGGCGAAAGCCUGAUCCAGCCAUGCCGCGUGUGUGAAGAAGGUCUUCGGAUUGUAAAGCACGUUAAGUUGGGAGGAAGGGCAGUAAGUUAAUACCUUGCUGUUUUGACGUUACCAACAGAAGAAGCACCGGCUAACUUCGUG
rnacentral:rRNA from 1 species